CUUUAGUUAGUAUAAACGUACAUUUACCUUCCAAGUAAAAAGUCUACAAAGUAGCCUAAAGA
rnacentral:tRNA from 1 species